UCGAGGGAUAAGCCCUUCGGGGUGGAAACCGGCGCACGGGUGCGUAACGCGUAUGCAACCUACCUUUCACAGGGGGAUAGCCCGAAGAAAUUUGGAUUAAUACCCCAUAAUAUUGUUGGAUGGCAUCAUCUGAUAAUUAAAGUUACGAUGGUGAAAGAUGGGCAUGCGUCCUAUUAGCUAGUUGGAGUGGUAACGGCACCCCAAGGCUACGAUAGGUAGGGGUCCUGAGAGGGAGAUCCCCCACACUGGUACUGAGACAGGGACCAGACUCCUACGGGAGGCAGCAGUGAGGAAUAUUGGUCAAUGGUCGAAAGACUGAACCAGCCAUGCCGCGUGCAGGACAGACAGCCCUAGAGGUUGUAAACUGCUUUUAUAUGGGAAGAAUAAGGAGUACGCGUACUUUGAUGACGGUACCAUAUGAAUAAGCAUCGGCUAACCCCGUGCCAGCAGCCGCGGUAAUACGGAGGAUGCGAGCGUUAUCCGGAAUCAUUGGGUUUAAAGGGUCCGUAGGCGGGCUAAUAAGUCAGAGGUGAAAGCGCUCAGCUCAACUGAGCAACUGCCUUUGAAACUGUUAGUCUUGAAUGGUUGUGAAGUAGUUGGAAUGUGUAGUGUAGCGGUGAAAUGCUUAGAUAUUACACAGAACACCGAUAGCGAAGGCAUAUUACUAACAAUUAAUUGACGCUGAUGGACGAAAGCGUGGGGAGCGAACAGGAUU
rnacentral:rRNA from 1 species